rnacentral:RNase_P_RNA from 1 species
GGGGCAGGCUGGGCAAUCGCGGUAUCGUGUAUAUCGAGGAAGGUCCGGACUCCACAGGGCAGGGUAGCGGCUAACAGCCGUCCGGCAAGCGGGCGUGAAAAUGCCUUCAAGCCGAGGAACAGGGCCACAGAGACGAGUCUGUUGCAUGGGCGUGCAUUGCACGCACCGAUACGGCAACUUCCGUAUGGCGCGGUCGGGUAACCGUUCGCAAUGCAGCAGGGUGAAACGCGGUAACCUCUAUCCGGAGCAACACCAAAUAGGCAUACGACGAGCUUUCGGGCUCACAGGGCGGCCCGCCCGAGUAUGCGGGUAGGUGGCCAGAGCGCGUCAGCAAUGGCGCGCCCAGAUGAAUGAUUGCCCGCCGGGUUUCCCGGCGUACAGAAUCCGGCCUACAGGCCUGUCCCGUCU